rnacentral:rRNA from 1 species
CCUACGGGUGGGCAGCAGUGAGGAAUAUUGGUCAAUGGACGAGAUUCUGAACCAGCCAAGUAGCGUGAAGGAUGACUGCCCUAUGGGUUGUAAACUUCUUUUAUAUGGGAAUAAAAUGUUCCACGUGUGGGAUUUUUUAUGUACCAUAUGAAUAAGGAUCGGCUAACUCCGUGCCAGCAGCCGCGGUAAUACGGAGGAUCCGAGCGUUAUCCGGAUUUAUUGGGUUUAAAGGGAGCGUAGGUGGAUUGUUAAGUCAGUUGUGAAAGUUUGCGGCUCAACCGUAAAAUUGCAGUUGAAACUGGCAGUCUUGAGUACAGUAGAGGUGGGCGGAAUUCGUGGUGUAGCGGUGAAAUGCUUAGAUAUCACGAAGAACUCCGAUUGCGAAGGCAGUUCACUGGACUGCAACUGACACUGAGGCUCGAAAGUGUGGGUAUCAAACAGGAUUAGAUACCCGAGUAGUC